UUUAUGGAGAGUUUGAUCCUGGCUCAGGAUGAACGCUGGCGGCGUGCCUAAUACAUGCAAGUCGAGCGAACGGACGAGAAGCUUGCUUCUCUGAUGUUAG
rnacentral:rRNA from 1 species